rnacentral:tRNA from 1 species
GCAGGUAUCGUAUAAUGGCUAUUAUGCAGCCUUGCCAUGGCUGAGAUGCGAGUUCGAUCCUCGUUACCUGCUCCA